rnacentral:rRNA from 1 species
AAAAAGCUCGUAGUUGGAUUUCGGAGUGGGCCAGUUGGUCCGCCGCAAGGUGUGUUACUGACUGGUUUGCUCUUCUUCGCAAAGACUGCGUGUGCUCUUUGUUGAGUGUGCGUAGGAUUUACGACGUUUACUUUGAAAAAAUUAGAGUGUUCAAAGCAGGCUAUUGCUUGAAUACAUGAGCAUGGAAUAAUGGAAUAGGACUUUGGUCCCAUUUUGUUGGUUUCUAGGACCGAAGUAAUGAUUAAGAGGGACAAUUGGGGGCAUCCGUAUUUCGUUGUCAGAGGUGAAAUUCUUGGAUUUACGAAAGACGAACAACUGCGAAAGC